rnacentral:rRNA from 1 species
CAGCAGCCGCGGGAAUACGUAGGGUGCAAGCGUUAAUCGGAAUUACUGGGCGUAAAGCGUGCGUAGGCGGCUUUUUAAGUCGGAUGUGAAAUCCCUGAGCUUAACUUAGGAAUUGCAUUCGAUACUGGGAAGCUAGAGUAUGGGAGAGGAUGGUAGAAUUCCAGGUGUAGCGGUGAAAUGCGUAGAGAUCUGGAGGAAUACCGAUGGCGAAGGCAGCCAUCUGGCCUAAUACUGACGCUGAGGUACGAAAGCAUGGGGAGCAAACAGGAUUAGAUACCCGUGUAGUCCCUGUCUCUUAUAC